UGGUGGCAGCAAAAAUUGGAAGAUUGGGUGCUGAAAAAACGACGGUAGAUGACGGAAGAAAUGGGCAGUGCCCCAAACCCAAACACUUCCGAUCUGUACGCUCUCCUCUCAACAUUUUUUCUCAUCAAUCGAGCAUGGCUUCAACUUCGAAGACGGUACCUUCCGCUUCUUCCAUUGUUAAACCUAACCUCUCUUCCUCUCUAUUUACUCACUCUCCUACCAUUCCAUCAUCAAAUCCCCAUUUUUCAUCUGCAGUUCAUCACAAAUCCCUAAAUGUAUCGCCCCAAAAUUUCAAUACACCCAUUUCGUUUCAACAGCAGCUUUCAAUGUUCCUACACAAUUGCAAGACAGGUAACAUUACUGCAACUCAAGCCUUCCAAUUCUUUCACCUGAUGAUGUAUUCAAAUCCUACCCCUCCCUUAUCUUCUUUCACUCAUUUACUUUCUGGACUUGCUAAGAUUAAGCAUUACUCUCAAGUAUUUUACCUCUAUAAUCAAAUGCGUCUAUCUGGAAUUUCACCUGAUUGCUGCACUCUGAAUAUAUUGUUGAAUUGCCUUUGUAAUGUGAAUCGGGUUGGCGAAGGUCUUGCGGUCAUGGCAGGGAUUUUAAGGAGAGGUUACAUUCCUGAUAUAGUCACAUAUACCACCUUAAUUAAGGGCUUGUGUAUGGAGCACAGGAUUAGUAAAGCCGCACUCUUAUUUACAAGAAUGCAAAAGUUAGGUUGUACGCCUAAUGCGAUUACUUAUGGGACUUUAAUGAAGGGGCUUUGUCGAACAGGAAAUAUUAGCAUCGCACUUAAGUUGCAUCAGGAAAUGCUCAAUGACAGUAGUCUAUAUGGGAUUAAUUUUAAGCCUGUUGUUAUUUCCUACAGUAUCAUCAUAGAUGCGCUUUGUAAGGAUAGACGGGAAGACGAGGCAAGAGAUCUUUUCGAGGAAAUGAAAGUUCAAGGAAUGACCCCCACUGUCAUUUCAUAUACCUCUUUGAUUCAUGGAUUUUGUUGUGGUGGAAAGUGGGAGGAGGCUAAACGUUUAUUCAAUGAGAUGGUGAAUCAAGGUGUUCAACCAAACGUGGUCACAUUUAAUGUGUUGAUUGAUGUGCUUUGCAAGGAAGGAAAGGUUAUUGAGGCUAAGGAUUUGCUAGAGGUAAUGAUUCAAAGAGGCAUCGUUCCUAAUUUGCUUACUUAUAAUUCAUUGAUUGAGGGGUUUUGUUUGGUUGGUGAUCUUAAUAGUGCGAGGGAAUUAUUUGUUAGCAUGCCAAGUAAGGGAUGUGAACCUGAUGUGAUUUGCUACACUGUGCUAAUUAAUGGGUAUUGUAAAACCUCGAAGGUUGAAGAAGCAAUGAAGCUUUACAAUGGAAUGCUUCAAGUGGGAAAGAGGCCAGAUGUGAAAACAUAUGGUGCCUUGUUAACAGGGCUUUUUCAGGGAGGCAAGGUUGGUGAUGCAAAGAAGCUAUUUGGUGUCAUGAAAGUUUAUGGUAUUCCCGGGGAUUUAUAUAUAUAUGGUAUUUUCUUAAAUGGGCUGUGUAAGAAUGGUUGUUUAUUUGAAGCGAUGGAACUUUUCAAUAAGUUAAAAUCAUACAACAUUAAAUUGGACAUUGAAUGCUUUAAUUGUCUAAUUGAUGGCCUAUGCAAAGCAGGGAAACUUGAAACUGCUUGGGAGCUAUUUGAAAAACUACCCCAAGAAGAGCUUCAACCAGAUGUUGUGACUUAUAAUAUUAUGAUCCAUGAGUUUUGCAGAGGGGGACAAGUAGUUAAGGCAAAUAUUCUAUUUCAAAAGAUGGAAAAAAAUGGUUGUACACCCGAUAAAAUUACUUAUGCUACACUGAUACGAGGUUUCUUUGAAAGUAAAAAAUUAGAGAAGGUGGUUGAACUUCUUCAUAUGAUGGUUCAAAGGGAUGUAUCGCUAGAUGUCAACAUUUUGCGCCAUAAUCGUAGGCAUGCCUUGCAAAAUUGAAAAAUAUCAAGCAUGUCUAGACUUGCUUCCAAGGUUUCCUGUCCAAGAGCGUUAAUGUUGAUAAUAUAACACUUAUUGGUAGACUCAUUAGGGGCUAAUGAGUUGUAAAUUUCUAAUCAACUGCAAGAAGAAACGAAUCAUUGUUUUAUGGACUUGAUGGGAGGAUCAUCUUCAUCAAUAGCACGUUAGCCUGCAUGGAACAAAUAAGAACCCUCUCUUCCACACCGCCAAUCUCGUAAGGACUUUCUCACAAAUAGGAUCCCGAAAGGACAAGUUCUCGGAUUGACCCCAAAGGAAGCCCGGGUAGUAAGUAGGGAAGGAGCCAACCUCACAAUCAAACACCUCCACCCAACUCUGCAACUUGACAUGAUCAGCAUUAAUUACAAAAAUAGUGCACUUGCUCCUAUCAAUUUCUAGCCUAGACAUAUCGUCAUAGCCACCAUAUGGUUGAGCAUGAGGAAGGACUCCUCUUUUCCAGAACAAAAUAACAUCGUAUCAUCUGCAAAUUAAAGGUGCGAUAAGGCAACUUCAUUCCUUCCAAUCUCCAUGUUUCAUUUUUAGAAUCACUGGUUAUAUUCUAUGAAGUGGAUUAGAUUACACAACGAUUCUGGUUGGUUGUACUAAAAAAAUAUAUUAAUGAUGUUAUAUACUUUUACUUUUUUUUCUCUUUAAUAUUUGUGUUUAACACUUGCUAUUUUGUGACCGGUAGUACUGACUGUUAGACCUCCAACCUUCAUACUCAUACUUAAAAAAGAAGGGCAUGAAGGGAAAUUCACAGAAGGAUUCAGCAAGGGAGCUCAUUGGAGAGGGAGAAAACACCUGAGGACCCCCUAAAUCACUAAUAUAAAAGGGAAUGUUCUGGGAUUGCUGAAGUAGGUUUUCUUUUGGGUAAAAAGCUGAUAGCUUUUAGGGAGAGGUUGCCAGCCUUCUCGAAGGAGCUGGAUUGUUUCUUUUACUGAUAUUGUGUUAUUUUCUUUUUAUGCUUUCUUCUUACUUUAAUAUUAGCUUGUGGAGCUCUUUUGGAUUAUUAUUCAAGGAGUUUUUGAGUUUCAGGUUGGAGACUCCUAACACUUACCUCAUGGGUGGACUUGGGUAGUGAGAGCCACGUUUUGAUGGAUAGAUGGGAACAGCCUCUGUGCAAUGUCUGAUUAACAGUAUUUCCAGAUUCAUUCAUCUAGUUUCAUGCCACACUACAAAGCCUUUGCCUCUUCCCAAGAAAUGCAGAAAUCUCGUUGUUGUCUUAAAACUUCUGAAAGUCGUCCUUGAUGAUGUCAUUAACCUCAAACUCUCUUCAGAUGAGUUACUUUAUCGUGAAUGUGAGUCACUGGAUGCAGCUGUAUAUGAAGCUCGAGAAUUCAUCGAAAAAUGGUGUCUGAAGACAGCAAAAUUUACAAAAUGUCUUGAAGGCCUUCAAUCAUGGAAGCUAUGAAGGAUUGGUAUCGACCCAAACUCUGACACCUUCUAAAACUGAUCAAAGCAUUUCAUUUGACGUCAAAUCGUUGCUGAACACAACAAUGCGAAGGAGGAACUACAUCACAUCAACCAGAUUAUGGAUCUAGUUAUCCUUAUACAAGAUUGGAUGGUUAGAAAGGACUACUUCCGUGGGAUAGAUGGAGUCCCGAUUCCUUCGUAAUUUCACUGCCCAUUGCCAUUAGAACUGAUGGCUUGAUCCAGUAAUUGUGGCAUAUUUGGAUUGAUAGCGGGUUAAACAUUUGGCCGAACACUCAUCAGAUGCGCACACAUACUAAUCUCGUUCCCAACCACACCAUUAAAGCCAUGGUAUUGAAUUGGUGCGAUGAAAACAAAUUGAACUUUAAUUUGAAUGGAAGUGAUAACUUCCAUUAUUUUAUACACUAGUAUUUCAACUGGAGGGCCAUUAUCUGAAAUUGAAAAGGGUUCUGAAAAACAGAAUGAGGACGUUUUUAGUAGUUCAAUUGGGUGGAAAUUCCAAUGAAGGUUGGAGGAACGAAACAGAAAAGUUGGAUCAGCCCUCCCCUCAGCAAUCAUAUAUAUCUACAGCAGAAGCGUAUUAGCCUCCA